AGCAAACUGGACAUCAAGACAGACACACAAUCUGAGGACAGUGAGGGUCUACUGGUUAUCGACACAACCUGUGUUUAUGUUAAAAUGGAGCUGAUCCCCUCACCCAAGAAAGAGCAUGUUCUGUAUUUAGACACUGAACACAGCUCUCUUGAUAUUCAAUCCACCGUUUCUCCUGAAUGUGUCCAACCCAACAGUGCGCUGAAUCAGGAUGUGAGAACUGACCAAAACACAGAAACAAACCCCUUCCACAUUCAUUUAAGGCCUGAGACUGAACUACACUCAGAUGUUAUGGACAAAAAGGCACCCGAGGGAGAAGGUGAAAUCUCUUGCCUCUGCAUGUCCUCAUCUUCAGUUUCCGAAAGGGAAACGUUGGAGGAGCGUGCUGAAAGGAUCCUAGGAAUCCCUCUGCAUGACUGCAUUACUGAGCAGCAACCAGAAGAUGCAAAGUCACUUCUCGACUUGUGUGUGGAGGACCAGGAUGUUGAACCUUCUCCAAUUAAAGAUAACCCCAUUGAUGUUGAACAAAUCCCAGAGGACAUGAGAGAAGAGGAACAGUCACAGAGUGAGCUCGAGGUUGUCCAAACUGAGGGUGCUGUGCGUUUGCAAGAGAAGGAUGAUGCUAAAGAUCAGGCGGCAAAUGAAGCUGGUGGGGAUUUUGCAAGACUUCAGGAUCAGGUGUCUAAUAUGUGUGAAGAGAACGACAUUGAUUCCCAACUCGAAGCAUACAUCAAACCUUUAUCUGAAACUGAAAUGACUGAGGAUCCUCUGCUUAAUCCCGCUGGUGAAGAGGGUACAACUGAGCAGAAGGAAAAUGAUACCUCUUCUCAUCAUCCCUCUCAGUGUCUUAGUCCACCCCAUGACAUCUCUAAUUCUUCUUCGCUCUCACCCUCGCCACACUUUGAAACACCAAACCCUGAUCUUUCUCUCAUGCUCUCAUGCGCCGAUCCUGAAUCCAACAUAGAAGAAGGUCCUGAUCCUGAGUUGAUUGCCCUCAACUCAGCAGAAAACCUAGCUCCUCGCCCUGAAACCUCAUCUCUGCCUCACACCCCAUCACCCCUUCCCCCGG
rnacentral:lncRNA from 1 species